rnacentral:rRNA from 1 species
UUAAGCUACUAAGGGUGUACGGUGAAUGCCCUGGCAUCAGAAGGCGAUGAAGGACGUAGCUAGCUGCGAUAAGCCCCGGGGAGCCGCAAGCAGGCCGUGAUCCGAGGAUGUCCGAAUGGGGAAACCCAGGCGAUGAAUGCCGCCUAUCCUCUGCUGAAUACAUAGGCAGUGAGAAGCCCACGCAGGGAAGUGAAACAUCUCAGUACCUGCAGGAAUAGAAAUCAAUCGAGAUUCCCCCAGUAGUGGCGAGCGAAAAGGGAACAGCCUAAACUGUGCCGAUGUCAAGCCCGUGUGCGUUGUCGGCGUAGUGUUGUAGGCCUUCAUUGGACGGUGAUACGGAGCCGUCGGCGAGUUACAAAUUAGGAUCGUAGCAGAAUAGUCUGGAAAGGCUGACCAUAGAAGGUGACAGUCCUGUAUGUAAAACGACCCUAACUCGUUGAAUGGAGGUCCUGAGUACCACGGGGCCCGAGAAACCUUGUGGGAAUCUGGGACGACCACGUUCCAAGGCUAAAUACUCUCUGAUGACCGAUAGUGAACCAGUACCGUGAGGGAAAGGUGAAAAGAACCCCGGUGAGGGGAGUGAAAUAGAACCUGAAACCGUACACCUACAAGCAGCGAAAGGGCUAUGCCCGCAAGGGAAUGCCUGAUCGUGUGCCUUUUGCUUAAUGAGCCUGCGAGUUAUUUAGCGUAGCAAGGUUAAGGCGAAGAGCCGGAGCCGUAGCGAAAGCGAGUCCGAAUUGGGCAUUGAGUUGCGCUGAAUAGACCCGAAGCGAAGUGAUCUACCCAUGGCCAAGGCGAAUCCGCCGUAACAGGCGGAGGAGGCCUGAACUGAUGUUAGUUGCAAAUGGCUCGGAUGAGCUGUGGGUAGGGGUGAAAGGCUAAUCAAACUUCGUGAUUGCUGGUUCUCCCCGAAAUAACUAGAGGGUUAGCCUCGUCUCAGCCGUGACGGAGGUAGAGCACUGAAUGAGCUAGGGGCGUUCCAACGCUACCGAACUCAAUCAAACUCCGAAUGCCGUUACUGGACGAACGGGAGUUAGACUACGAGUGCUAAGAUCCGUGGUCAAAAGGGAAACAGCCCAGACCGUCAGCUAAGGUCCCUAAUCGUGAGCUAAGUGGAAAAGGUUGUAAGAUCGCUCAGACAGCCAGGAGGUUGGCUUAGAAGCAGCCAUCCUUUAAAGAGUGCGUAAUAGCUCACUGGUCGAGCGAUUUUGCGCCGAAAAUGUAACGGGGCUCAAGUUCACAACCGAAGCUACGGACUUGCAUCGCAAGAUGUGAGUGGUAGGGGAGCAUUCUCUGUGCGGUGAAGGUUGACCGACAAGGACAACUGGAGCGCAGAGAAGAGAUUAUGCAGGCAUAAGUAGCGAUAAACGAUGUGAGAAUCAUCGUCCCCGUAAGCCUAAGGUUUCCUGGCCUAUGUUCGUCAGGUCAGGGUGAGUCGGAUCCUAAGCCGAGGUCGACAGACGUAGGCGAUGGCAAACAGGUCAAUAUUCCUGUACCACCGUAUUGACGUUAUCAGCGAAGGGGGGACGCAGAAGGGUAGGCACCGCCGGGUCCCUGGAAUACCCGGUCCAAGCAUGUAGGCGGGAACUGUAGGCAAAUCCGCGGUUCCGUUAACGCCGAGAUGUGAUGGGGAGGCCGCAAGGCCAUAAACGGGCUGAUCCCACGCUGCCGAGAAAAGCCUCGUAGCGAGUCAGUACGAUGUCCGUACCGCAAACCGACACAGGUAGGUGGGUGGAAUACACCAAGGGGCGUGAGAGAACACUCCCUAAGGAACUAUGCAAUUUAGCCCCGUAACUUCGGGAGAAGGGGUGCCCUGCGUAAGUGAGGCCGUACAGGCCGAGCUGAACGGGGUUGCAAUAAAGUGGCUCUAGCGACUGUUUACCAAAAACACAGGACUCUGCAAACACGAUAGUGGAUGUAUAGGGUCUGACGCCUGCCCGGUGCUGGAAGGUUAACCGGAGGAGUUAGCCGCAAGGCAAAGCUUUGAAGGGAAGCCCCAGUAAACGGCGGCCGUAACUAUAACGGUCCUAAGGUAGCGAAAUUCCUUGUCGGGUAAGUUCCGACCUGCAUGAAUGGCGUAACGA